CCAAUAGCGUAUAUUAAAGUUGUUGCAGUUAAAAAGCUCGUAGUUGAAUCUCGGGGUUCUACCGUUGGUCGGGCAAUUGUCUGUACUGGCGUGUGGAAUUUCUACCUUCUGGGGAUCCAUCAUGUUAUUAAUUUAGCGUGGUGGGAAACCAGGACCUUUACCUUGAAAAAAUUAGAGUGUUCAAAGCAGGCGUACGUCUGACUACAUGAGUAUGGAAUAAUAGAAUAGGACGGUGGUCCUGUUUUGUUGGUUUCUGAAUCACCGUAAUGAUUAAUAGAGAUAGUUGGGGGCAUUAGUAUUCAAUUGUCAGAGGUGAAAUUCUUGGAUUUAUUGAAGACUAACUUCUGCGAAAGCAUUUGCCAAGGAUGUUUUCAUUAAUCAAGAACGAAAGUUAGGGGAUCGAAGACGAUCAGAUACCGUCGUAGUCUUAACCAUAAACUAUGCCGACUAGGGAUCGGACGAUGUUAAUUUUUCUUGACUCGUUCGGCGCCUUACG
rnacentral:rRNA from 1 species